AAAAACAACAGAUAGUAACAGUAACAGAACAGAAACUACAACGAAACAAUACUAUAGUUUCAUCAACUUCAAAUGAUAACUAAAACUGCAUCCAACAUUAGCCCAUUGACUAAGCCUUGACUAGAAAAAAGACCUUCAAAAUCUCAUACUGGAUAUCAUAUACACAUAAUUGGAAAACCACAAAAACAACAAUCAUUAGAAAAAGAACAAAUUACAAACUAUUCAGACAUGAUCACCGCGAAAACAAGAAAAAAAUAAUACCAAAAACAACAGAUAGUAACAGUAACAGAACAGAAACUACAACGAAACAAUACGAUGGUUUCAUCAACUUCAAAUGAUAACUAAAACAGCAUCCAACAUUAGCCCAUUGACUAAGCCUUGACUUGAAAAAAACCUUCAAAAUCUCAAACUGGAUAUCAUAUACACAUAAUUGGAAAACCAUCAAAACAACAAUCAUUAGAAAAAGAACAAAUUAUUCAGACAUGAUCAAAUCCACAAAACAAUGAUCAACAAGAGGGCAAAAGCAAUUCAAAAUGGAAAAUUCAGAAUUCCUUGAAGAAUUGGACAAGCAAAAUCACAAUUGAACACAAAAAAAA
rnacentral:lncRNA from 1 species